UGAGGAAUAUUGGGCAAUGCCCGCAAGGGUGACCCAGCAACGCCGCGUGGAGGAUGAAUGUCGUAAGAUUGUAAACUCCUGUUAGAGGGGAAGAAUAGUACCGGUUGGACCGGUAUAUGACUGUACCCUCAGAGAAAGCCCCGGCUAACUACGUGCCAGCAGCCGCGGUAAUACGUAGGGGGCAAGCGUUGUCCGGAUUUACUGGGUGUAAAGGGCGCGCAGGCGGGAUAAAAAGUCAGUGGUGAAAUCCUACAGCUUAACUGUAGAACUGCCUUUGAUACUUGUAUUCUUGAGUUCGGGAGAGGGAGACGGAAUUCCAGGUGUAGUGGUGAAAUACGUAGAUAUCUGGAAGAACACCAGUUGCGAAGGCGGUCUCUUGGUCCGACACUGACGCUGAGGCGCGAAAGCGUGGGGAGCAAACA
rnacentral:rRNA from 1 species